GAAAGCCUGCGGUAUUCGUGUUAUUUUUGUUUCUGAACUGAAAAAUAGUAGGAAGUCGAGCCAUUUGUGGCGCACAAGCCGGACACGAUCCGGAUCUGUAAAGCAAACAAGGUAGAUUUCCACCCUUAAAAAGGGUUCGAGUAAACAAUAGUACACGGUACCGCGGGUUAAAU
rnacentral:other from 1 species